ensembl:lncRNA
AUGUGAGAUGCCAGAAGACAGCAAGAGCAUCAUCAGAGUGAAGCAAGACAGCAGCUGAGCUUAGAGAGUGGAGCAGUUUUUAAAGGCAGCCUGGGAAAAUGCAGAAGAGAGGCCAAUCUGACUUGCGGAAUCUUGCGUGAAUUUAUCAAGCUCGUAAUGCCCAGACAGACGCAUCUCGUAGAAUGAAGCUUCCAUGCUCCAAGUUUUGCAGAACUGCUCCACGGCUCAGCUUUAGGAAGAGCGAGGCCUCCUGGGCAGAAGGAGGGACAGAGAAGGCCAGUUUGGGGGCUGCCUGCUCGGAAGACUGGAGCAUGUACUAGAGCUGCAGGCUUUCCUAAAGGCUUCAUAGCAGAAGACGAAAACACCUCUAACGCUACCUUAAAGAGCACAGAGAAUUCUUGGUAGAAGGCCUCCUCCUGAAAACAGAGAUUUUAUCUCCAGCCUCUUCCAGGAGACCAGAAACUAUCACUUGUCUGGAAAUAAAAAUCUCUCAGC